rnacentral:rRNA from 1 species
AAACAUCGCCUCUUGAAUACCACCCAUAAGAGGUCCCGCCUGCCCUGUGAACAUGAUUUCAACGGCCGCGGUAUUUUGACCGUGCAAAGGUAGCGCAAUCACUUGUCUCUUAAAUAGAGACCUGUAUGAAUGGCACCACGAGGGCUUGACUGUCUCCCCCACCCAGUCAGUGAAAUUGAUCUCCCCGUGCAGAAGCGGGGAUAACUCUAUAAGACGAGAAGACCCUGUGGAGCUUUAGACAAUGAGUAGACCUAGUAAAACAACCCGACUCAACGGACCAAAACAUAAGGGAACCUACUCUGCUGUCUUUGGUUGGGGCGACCGCGGGGGAAUAAAGAGCCCCCAUGUGGAAUAAGAAAACUUUCUUCCAGCUGAGAGCGCCAGCUCAAAGUAACAGAACAUCUGACCUAUAAAGACCCGGCAAAGCCGAUCAACGAAACCAGUUACCCCAGGGAUAACAGCGCAAUCCUCUCCCAGAGCCCAUAUCGACGAGAGGGUUUACGACCUCGAUGUUGGAUCAGGACAUCCUAAUGGUGCAGCCGCUAUUAAGGGUUCGUUUGUUCAACGAUUAAAGU